rnacentral:lncRNA from 1 species
CAGCGCCGCCGCGGCCCUCCGCCAACGCCGCCGCAGCGGGCCACGGCCAGAUCGAGCGCGCGGGCCACUGCACACAUCAUCUUCCCCACGCGCGAUCUUCUCCGGCCGGCUGUGUGCUAAGUAUAGAUCGAGAACGCCGCCAUUGAUUAAUUACGUAUUCAUAUACACUAGACCAGAGAAAUAUAUAUAUAUAUACACACAAAAAAUAUUACAUAUAUAUACAUAAAAAUAUAUACAAAAAAUAAUACUACAAAUCAAA